CAGGGGCAGAGGAAGAUGGCGAAACCUAUUGGCUAGUGGGGAUCAGAAGAGGGCGGUUCACUUAGCCUGCGCGUGGGGCACUAUGGGUAUUGUAGUUCAGGGCUCCGCGGUCCAGCUUGCAGCGAGGAAUCUUGGAAGCCAGUGGGUCCAAGCUGGUCAGGGAAGCGCCUCGCACGGGGGAAUCAGGUGUGGAGUAGCUGCAGGGAUGUGUCUUCGUUCUGCUAUUUCUCCUUCGGGUGAGGCCUCACUCUGUCUCCCCUUCAGGGACUUUCACUUCAUCCCAUACAUGAGAUUACUUUAUAAGCCCCAGUCACCUACAGAUUAUCCCUUACAAUUCCAAGCUGGUCUUGAGUUCCUCCUCUCGUCUAUCUCCCGCACAUCCAGGCCCUGGAAUUCUUCUCUGUCCUUCUCUUUCUCAUGACUUCCACACCCCAACAAAUGGAAGAUGUUAACUACGUGAUGACCAUGAGCGCACAGGCCCAGGCCUCCUGGUGCCUAAGGACUGAUGAUGUUAGCCCCUGUGACACCAUCCUUUUACCGCACCUCCAGCCAGUCAGAGAAUUGUGUUUGAGCUGACUGCAUACCCUGCAACCUCCCUCCCUCACCUGGAUUUUAAAUAUGCUUUACCAAAAUGCUUAGGGGAGCUUGCGGCCUUUUAGUGGGUGAGCCACGCGUCUCCUUGCAUGGCCCUGAAAUAAACCUUUCUCUUCUCUAAA